rnacentral:rRNA from 1 species
GGGCUAGCCUCAAGUGAUGAUUAUUGGAGGUAGAGCACUGUUUGGACGAGGGGCCCCUCUCGGGUUACCGAAUUCAGACAAACUCCGAAUGCCAAUUAAUUUAACUUGGGAGUCAGAACAUGGGUGAUAAGGUCCGUGUUCGAAAGGGAAACAGCCCAGACCACCAGCUAAGGUCCCAAAAUAUAUGUUAAGUGGAAAAGGAUGUGGCGUUGCCCAGACAACUAGGAUGUUGGCUUAGAAGCAGCCAUCAUUUAAAGAGUGCGUAAUAGCUCACUAGUCGAGUGACACUGCGCCGAAAAUGUACCGGGGCUAAACAUAUUACCGAAGCUGUGGAUUGUCCUUUGGACAAUGGUAGGAGAGCGUUCUAAGGGCGUUGAAGCAUGAUCGUAAGGACAUGUGGAGCGCUUAGAAGUGAGAAUGCCGGUGUGAGUAGCGAAAGACGGGUGAGAAUCCCGUCCACCGAUUGACUAAGGUUUCCAGAGGAAGGCUCGUCCGCUCUGGGUUAGUCGGGUCCUAAGCUGAGGCCGACAGGCGUAGGCGAUGGAUAACAGGUUGAUAUUCCUGUACCACCUAUA